GACGUCCCGGCCCGGACUCCAUUAGGUGCAGCUGGUCUGAGAGGAGACAAACCCGGCGGGCAGUGAGCGGAGCGGGCCGGGCGCCUGGGGCUGCCGGGCGGGGGCUCAGGGCAGCGGCGGCCGCCAUCGCCAGAGGGAGCCCCGAGCGGGCGGCGGCGCUGCCUCCGGGACCCCCGGCGGGCGCAGGGCCCCGCUCCGCCUCCCCUCGCCCCCGCCGCCUCCCCCUCCUCGCCCCCCCGGCUUCCCACCACGGCCGCUCUCGGCGAGGAAACUCUGGCCUCCGCUUCCUCCUCCUCCGACUCGGACACCGGCGGAGCCUCCCCGCCCCCGCGGAAGAAAGCCCGGGCCUCCCCGGCGGCGGCGGUGGAGGGAGCAGGAGAGCCCGGGGCUUCCGCGGGCAGAGCAGGCCUCACCUCGUCCCAGUCCCCCUCGGUGCCCGCCGGGCUCGCCCCCGCCGCCGCCCCGCUCAGAGGCAGCAGCAGCAGCGGCGGCAUCGCCAGCAGUGCCAUGCAGGCCAACGGGGCGGGAGGGGGCCAGCAGCAGCAGCAGCCGCCGCCGCAGGGCCCGGAGCUGGGCUGCCUGGGCGCCCAGAACGGCGAGGCCUCGGCGGGCACGGCCGCCGGUGACCAGCUGGCCCACGCCAACGGGCUGCUGCCCUCGGCCAACAGCGGUGGCCCCGGCGGCGGCAGCCCCGGCGGGCUCGGCGUCAACAACGGGGUGCCCGCCGCCGGGGGGCCCGGCCCCGCCGCCGCCGAGCUGGGGGGCGGCGGCGGUGGCAGCGCCCUGAAGAAGAAGAAGCGGCUCUCGCAGUCCGACGAGGACGUGAUCCGGCUGAUCGGGCAGCACCUCCACGGGCUGGGGCUCAACCAGACUGUUGAUCUCCUCAUGCAAGAGUCAGGAUGUCGUUUAGAACAUCCUUCAGCUACCAAAUUCCGCAAUCAUGUCAUGGAAGGAGAAUGGGAUAAGGCUGAGAACGACCUGAAUGAACUUAAGGCCUUAGUGCAUUCUCCGCAUGCAAUUGUGAGGAUGAAGUUUUUGCUGCUGCAGCAGAAGUACCUGGAAUACCUGGAGGAUGGCAAGGUCCUGGAGGCACUUCAGGUUCUACGCUGUGAACUGACGCCUCUGAAAUAUAAUACAGAACGCAUUCAUGUCCUCAGUGGGUACCUGAUGUGUAGCCAUGCAGAAGACUUGCGUGCAAAAGCAGAGUGGGAAGGGAAAGGAACAGCUUCCAGAUCUAAACUUUUGGACAAACUCCAGACCUACCUACCCCCAUCAGUGAUGCUUCCUCCGAGGCGUUUACAGAACCUGCUCCGCCAGGCUGUGGAACUCCAACGGGACCGGUGCCUAUAUCACAACACCAAACUAGACAGCAAUCUAGAUUCUGUCUCGCUGCUAAUAGAUCACGUUUGUAGUAGGAAACAGUUCCCAUGCUAUACCCAGCAGAUCCUAACGGAGCACUGUAAUGAAGUGUGGUUCUGUAAAUUCUCCAACGACGGCACUAAAUUAGCAACAGGAUCUAAGGACACAACUGUUAUUAUAUGGCAGGUUGAUCCAGACACUCACCAGCUAAAACUACUUAAGACGUUAGAAGGUCAUGCGUACGGGGUCUCCUACAUUGCCUGGAGUCCAGAUGACAACUACCUUGUUGCCUGUGGCCCAGAUGAUUGUUCUGAGCUUUGGCUCUGGAAUGUACAAACUGGGGAGCUGAGGACAAAGAUGAGCCAGUCUCAUGAAGACAGUUUAACAAGCGUGGCCUGGAAUCCUGAUGGGAAGCGUUUUGUAACGGGAGGACAGCGUGGACAGUUCUAUCAGUGUGAUUUAGAUGGUAAUCUCCUCGACUCCUGGGAAGGGGUGAGAGUACAAUGCCUUUGGUGCUUGAGUGAUGGGAAAACUGUUCUAGCAUCAGACACACACCAGCGAAUUCGGGGUUAUAACUUUGAGGAUCUCACAGACAGGAACAUAGUACAAGAGGAUCACCCUAUUAUGUCGUUUACUAUUUCAAAAAAUGGCCGUUUAGCUUUGUUAAAUGUAGCAACUCAGGGAGUUCACUUAUGGGACUUACAAGACAGAGUUUUAGUGAGAAAGUAUCAAGGUGUUACACAAGGAUUUUACACAAUUCACUCGUGUUUUGGAGGUCAUAAUGAAGAUUUCAUUGCGAGUGGCAGUGAAGAUCACAAGGUGUACAUCUGGCACAAGCGCAGCGAGCUGCCCAUCGCGGAGCUGACGGGGCACACGCGCACGGUGAACUGCGUGAGCUGGAACCCGCAGAUCCCGGCCAUGAUGGCCAGCGCCUCCGAUGAUGGCACUGUUAGGAUAUGGGGACCAGCACCUUUCGUAGACAACCAGGAUAUUGAAGUCUUGGACUAGGUGGACCAGCCUGGCUAAUCUGUAGCACCUGGAAUGCACCCAUAAGGAGUCAGAGCCUGUCCUCCAGCUGGUUUUACUCAUGGCUUUGUUGUUUGGUUUUCUCCAGUGAGCUACUUGCUCACUCUUUCUUAGUUCCUCCAGAAAAUGAACCAAGGAAUGCAGUAGCAUGGAUAGUUGAUGGCGAAUUUGGAGCAGACGACUUCAGUUUAACUUAAUUAGUCGUAUUUUAAAUGGCUUGGGAUUUGGUGCAAACAAACAUGAUUGAUAGCUGGACAGACAUGCUCGUCAUGAAAAAGAACCAUUUCUGAAGCCCGGUUGGGGCCAAACAUUUACCACCUUUGCUUCAUAGUAACCAGUUGAGAUGAAGCACGUCUUUAGAACUUUGUUGGACACCGUGUUGAAAUUACCCCCCCAUCGGUUGUGAAGAACUGUGCUACAUUCAGGCUAACCAUUGAACUCAGUAUAUAUAUUUUUCCCUCCUGCCUUUUUGUCUGGCAGGCUACUGUUCUUGUUGCUCUUCUGUGUAAUGAAGUUUAAAUGCUUGUUUGGAACACUUUAUUUAACAGUUUAGAAGGCUUGAUAGAAAGAGUGCUUUAGUCUGAAGAGUAUACAUUGGAUAGGAAAGUAUUUCCUUCUCUUGUUUCUCAAGUCUCUCUCCGCCUUACUUAGCUUGAGAUCUUUGCAGCUUGGUUCAUGGAUUCUAGCCUUGCCCGUUGCGCAGUAUAUCUAUCAAUUGAGAGGAUAAACCAAUGAACUAUGUCAAAAGCACUCUCAGUAUCACAUUUGACAAAAAGUUUUGUACUUUUCACAUAGCUCGUUGCCCUGCAAAGGGGUUAACAGCACAAUUUUUUAAAAAUAAAUUAUUUAUAGGAUUAAAAUGACUUCAUUUGUAUACAUUUGGAAUUAAAACAAUGCAAGAAGUGUUGUGAAACACGGUAUCACUGAUGCUUUUCUGGAGUGUCCUGAGACCCAAUCAAAAGCAGUGGCUGGAAGGAGAUUUAUGUAGGCAGUAAAGCUUAUUUCAGAUGGAGGAAUUCCCUGUCCAUCUUAACAGAUAAACUGUAUUAGUUAGAAAAAAAAAAGCAUUCAGACUGCACCACCAGUCUCAGAGUUGAAACAAAAAGAGGUCUUUUUGGUUUUUUUCAUUACAUAAAUAUAUGCAACAAUGCUGGUGUAAAAAGUAGAUUACACUUUGAGGGAAGAAUGUGUUGAAAGAGUCCUUUCUUCACAAAGUCUUAUACUUUGUAUAAGUAAUUUACGUACAAAUCAUAAUUAAACACUUGUAUUAUGAUGGAAAUUUUUUCUUUAUUUGAUAAACAAGGGUGGACAGAUUUUGUUGUUGAGAAUAUACUUUUAAGUUUGCAGAUUUAAAUGCCUCUCCCAGACCUUGUUGCAAGCUGGUGCCAUGAACAUCUUGACACAUCUAGGAGUAGUUCCACUAAUGUCCCGUGUUAAGAAAAAACAAAGACUUUUAUAAUUUAAAUAUUUAUUUUUUUGACAUAAACAGAUUGCCUGGCAUCUCUGUGCUUCUGCACUACACACAAAUCCAUUAUGAGAUGGCACUGGAUUCCCUUUUGCCACCUUGGGUGGAAAGGUAGUGUUGGUACUGCUGCAAAGUAAAGAAGGAGCAGGGAAGGUCAUGCCACCAGGAGUCACUUGAGCAGAAGUGUGGACUUCAUCCUUUCAUGAGAUAAUGAUUUAGAGUCCUUAUUAGUUAUGUGUGGAAGAAGGGUGGGGGAAGGUUUGCUGGAGUUCCUGGGAAGAGAGGUAUAGCCACUUUGAUGAAUGGGAGUGUGGUGUUUCCCAGAAAAACAAAGGUUAGCAGGUUAGAUUUUUUUCUUCUUUUCGAUUCCAGCCAUCCGGUGGUGUGUGUUUGUCUUGCCUUGCGUGCAGACUUUAAGCAUGAGCUAGGAUUCUGGUACUGUGGUUGAGACCAGCCCCGAAUCUGACAUAUGAGUCUUCUAACACCUCCAAAACCAGGUAGGAACUUAAUGUUCAGCCUUAAAAUUAAGGUGAAUUCUUUGACAUCAAUUACUGCUUCACAGCACUGAGAAUACAUGUGUAAACUUAAGAUUAUACAUCCAUUCCUUCUUCCUUUAAUCACUUCUGGAGGAAGCUUUUUCUUUCCCUUCUUAGUUCAGACAGUGUAAGAUGAGUCAGGCCUGGCCUUAAUGUUGCAGGAAAACACAAGUUCCCAUGGUCAAAUUUGAGUAAGCUAAACCUUGGGGUUUUAGGAAAUUAAUUCCUAAAUUGUAAUCAGUAAAUUGUAAAAGUGUUUUACAUGUUCAAAACAUGAUAUAAUUCAUAAGCAAUGCCAGCAUGUGAACCUUUGGAAGUUACUCUAGUAUCGUUUUACUCUGGAGCUUAAGUUUUCAAGCCAAACAUUAUUUAGGAAGAGUAAGGAAAAUAAUGGUUUUGAUGUCUCAUACAAUUGUCUGUCACUAUGUACUCAUGGAAAUAAAGUGGGAGCUUUAGGCAGGUGGUGAAGUUUGGAUCAAAUCUCAAGUGUAGACUUAGUCUCAUAUGCACUUCAGGCAUUUCUAAUGUGGAGGCCAUGACUAACCAGAGUGAGACUCCUUCCCUGGUACAGCUGGGGGGGUGCGUGGGCUGAUGCCUGCUAUCCACGGCAAUGCAAUUAGGAAUUUAAACCUAACAUAGGACCGCUGCCAAAACACUGCCCCUCUCUGCUGGACUUGGUUUGUCCCUCUGAAGGACACUUGAGAUAUUCAGAAGCUGAGUUAGGGAGAAGCAGGUGUGGGAUCUCUCUCCCUUAGUGUCCUGGUGCAGCCAUGCCAUGUAAAGGCAAGCUCCAAGCAGGUGGCACUGCUUCCAGUGUCUCAGUGACAGCCUGUUUGCAUCUCGUGGGCCAUGAGCAGGCAGGACAGAAAGGUGAGAUUAAUCUUCAUUUUGCCACACUACUCAGUCCCACAGCAGCUGCCAUUAGAGAUGUAGCAAUGAGAACCGUCCCAACCUGGAGAUGAAAGAGCAACCUAAACUAUUUCCAACACAUUGGAUAUUCAUAUGUGGAUUGAAAAGUACCAAUACUUUUUGUGCACAGACAAUAAAAUGAGACUGGGGUGGGGUGGGGGGGGAAAGCCCAAAUCAGUUUGCUCAUUUGCAGCAUGUUGAUUUCCAUGUGCUUAAAAAUGUUUAUAGGCUGGAGUGUAAGGCUGGAACAAGUACACACCCACAAUAAAUAACUGUAUUUCCAGUCAGCAGGCCCAUGGUUUUAGAAAAAAAUACUGUGUGUACUCGUUUUCUAACUUUCUCUGGUCACCUGUUGGCUUCAAAUAUUCACAGUAGCCCCAGGUUAUUAUCAAGGCAGAUCUCAAAAAAAAAUGCUGAAGCAUUUUAUUAUCUGAAUGUUCUUUAGCUGUUCAGGUAAGUAAUUUUCAAGGCACAAUGGAACACAAAAGGGAAAAUGGUAGCUCUGUUCAUGUUUUGGAGGGGAGGGAAGUGGGGGGAAUGACACCUUUGUUUUUAAAUUCCCUCUGUCUUUUCUAAAGUUCUCCAACUUUAAAGUUAACUUCUCUUUAUGAUUGGAGCAAAGAUGCAAGCUAGAAAUCUGCCCAGAUCUUGCCAGUUACUUCUCAACUUGGCUUCAACCAGGUAAUGUUUAAUAAAAACUCUUGUCUACUGUUGGGAGUUGGUGUCUAGUUGUGUAUUUUUACACUGCUAAAUGAUACUCCCACCCAAAAUCCGUUGUAAAGGCUUCCUUACCAGGAGGCCAGGACUCAUACAAUUAGCUGUAGCUCAAGGGGAUAUGUUGUAGAUCCAAAUGGGGAGGGAGGUAGAGAAAAAAGAAUUGACAUAAGAAACAGGAUUUACUGACCAACAAACAAACUACUGUAACUCAAGGGGGAGGAGGAAAAAUGCACUUUCAAUAGUUUGUCCAUAUUUUUAGCUACAAAAUACACUUGUAUCUAUUUCUUUUUGAGACGACUAUUACAAGGAACACCCAUCCCAUAAAUGGUCUCCUUUUGCCUUCCUCCUGUCUUUUCCACAUUGGCUUGAGUCUAUUUUCAGCUGCCAUACUUGAUUUCUAAAAACUGCUACUUUUAACGAUGUCUAGAAAGCAAAAUCAUUAACUAUGACACUUUUUUUAAACAGGGUGGACUUAAUUGAAGUGUGCAGUGUUGAAACUACUGCUGCAGUAGCUGCCUCUAGUUGAAAUAAACUGUAGCCAAGUUUUCUGUCUAUUCAUCCAGAUAAUCUGGAUUCAGUAAAACAUCUGUGAGAGUGUUCCUCCCAUCUGGUAUGAGUGUGUGCGUGCAUGUGUUCCAUGAACAGACAGAGAACCAAAUGUUCUAGGUACUUGUCAUGUUUUAUUGCAUACUUUUAAGUAGUGUGUAUGUGAAGUGUCCUUUGACCAGAAGGUUUUGGUUAAUAUCAGUAUAUUUUUAUAAAUUUGAAAUUCAUUGUGCCCCAUCUUUUUUCAUAAACAUUUUUCAUUCUUAGGGUAUAUGUGCUAGAUUUGAAACUUAACAUUUUUAGGCACAGAUGGAAAAAGUUAUUGGCUCCUUGAAAACAUAUGGGACAAAAUGGAUCCUCAAAGCAUGUAUGUACUUACAAACCAAGCUGUAGAGAUCAAGAAAAGAACUUUAUUGUUGAUCUCAAGAUUUCUAAAUUGUCAAGAUUUAUAUGGAGUUGUGGUGGAACUAGUUAACACUUAGAGCUUUUGGUAUGUAAUGACUAUUUGCUAUGGACUGAUAUUAAAUGUUUCAAAGGAUUGCGUUCUUAAACUUUCUGGAUUUUUGUUACUCUCCUCAGAUAUUAUUAAGUAGUUAAAAAUUUCUUUGCUAUAUUACAUUAAAAACAUAAGAACUUUGGGUCUCGUAUUUAUUUUCACUUGUUUUACUAAUUAUUUACAGAACACCGUUUUAACUUUUUUAUUUUAUAAAUGUGUAGUAUUUUAAACAUAUCUUUAAAAAUUGUUCAAUUGGAACUACAUUAACUUCUGAUUUGUUUUUAUUAGGAUUUUUAAAAAAAAAAAAUACACUUUUUCCAUGUUGGUGCACAGCACUUAAGAGAAAUGUUUGUAUUCCCUUUCUUUCAAUUCAAUAAACAAUAAAUAACUGGAA